rnacentral:rRNA from 1 species
UACGUAGGGUGCGAGCGUUGUCCGGAAUUAUUGGGCGUAAAGAGCUCGUAGGCGGUCUGUCGCGUCGGUCGUGAAAACUUGGGGCUUAACCCUGAGCUUGCGGUCGAUACGGGCAUGACUGGAGUUCGGCAGGGGAGACUGGAAUUCCUGGUGUAGCGGUGAAAUGCGCAGAUAUCAGGAAGAACACCCGUGGCGAAGGCGGCUCUCGUGGGACGGUACUGACGCUGAGACGCGAAAGCGUGGGGAGCGAACAGG